AACGAACGCUGGCGGCAUGCCUAAUACAUGCAAGUCGAACGAAGGCUUCGGCCUUAGUGGCGCACGGGUGCGUAACGCGUGGGAAUCUACCCUUGGGUUCGGAAUAACAGUUAGAAAUGACUGCUAAUACCGGAUGAUGACGUAAGUCCAAAGAUUUAUCGCCCAAGGAUGAGCCCGCGUAAGAUUAGCUAGUUGGUGAGGUAAAGGCUCACCAAGGCUACGAUCUUUAGCUGGUCUGAGAGGAUGAUCAGCCACACUGGGACUGAGACACGGCCCAGACUCCUACGGGAGGCAGCAGUAGGGAAUAUUGGACAAUGGGCGAAAGCCUGAUCCAGCAAUGCCGCGUGAGUGAUGAAGGCCUUAGGGUUGUAAAGCUCUUUUACCCGAGAUGAUAAUGACAGUAUCGGGAGAAUAAGCUCCGGCUAACUCCGUGCCAGCAGCCGCGGUAAUGU
rnacentral:rRNA from 1 species